UGCUCUGCCUAAAGAGAGGUGCCCAGUGA
rnacentral:piRNA from 1 species